UUUGGCUUUUAAUUGGGUAGAAGCAGAGGAUUUAUUUAAAAUACUAUAGGUGUUACAAAAGUAAAAAUCCUAACACAGAAAUAUAUAAUCAAUAUAUGAAAAUACAUAAAAAUAUGUAUAAAAAUAUAUAAAGAAAUCUAAGUAAUAGGAAAACAUGUAAUACAGAACAUAAUUUUACUUUAAAUAAAAACGUAUAACUAAACAAUAUACAUCAAUAUUCAAUAUAAAUAAAAGUGUGAAUAUAAAUAUAAAAAAUAUUUUUUAGGUAUUUAAUUUUUUAAAUAAACUUUUGGGGAAUUUUUUGAUGCUAUUGGGUGAGAGGCGGGGGGGGCUUUUUUGCCUUCCAGCUUGUUUUUUGGCAUUUAUUUCAGAGGAGUUUUGGCGGGGGCCGCCCCCGUUCUCUUUCGCCGCCUUCCCCGCCCGCAGCCCCGAGGCGCGCGGCUGCCCCCGGCUGGGGCGGGCGGCGGUGCUGCCGCCUUGUGGUCAGAGCGCGGUACUGCAGCCACGCACGGGCAGGCAGCCGGGGCUGCCGCCAUGUUGGGAGUGGCGUGUCGGGAAUGUCGCGGACCUUCUUUGACCUUCUCAAAAAGGCGCCUAAAAGGGUGGGAAAAGUGAGGACCCGCGAUGCGUCUAACCGAACUGCCUGCACAGCACGCCGACUCAGCCGCCGGCGCGGCUCACACGGGGUUUUCUGUGGCGUUUCAAGUGCCGCGGACACGGGCAGUGGGCCGUGCGGCGCCGCGAGCGGGCGUAUUUUGGCAAGUUUCGGACAGGCAUCUGCGUAAACGCCCCUCUCAGCCGGGGUCCUCUAACUCGCUUUCCCCCCCUCGGGGAGCCGGGCCGCAUCGAAUUCAUCCGAAGUGCCGAAUCUAGACGACUGUAGCCGGAAAUAGCCGGAAAUAGCCGGAAAUAGCCGGAAAUAGCCGGAAAUAGCCGGGUGUAUACGAAAAUAGCCGAGUUUAGCCGAGCAGCCGAAAACAGCCGAGUGUAUGCGAAAAUAGCCGAGUUUAGCCGAGCAGCCGAAAACAGCCGAGUGUAUGCGAAAAUAGCCGAGUUUAGCCGAGCAGCCGAAAACAGCCGAGUGUAUGCGAAAAUAGCCGAGUUUAGCCGAGCAGCCGAAAACUGCCGAGUGUAUGCGAAAAUAGCCGAGUUUAGCCGAGCAGCCGAAAACUGCCGAGUGUAUGCGAAAAUAGCCGAGUUUAGCCGAAGACCAAAACAAGCCGAAAAUAGCCGAGUUUAGCCGAAGACCAGAAACAAGCCGAAAAUAGCCGAGUUUAGCCGAAGACCAGAAACAAGCCGAAAAUAGCCGAAUUUAAACGAAGAACCGAUGAUAGCCGCUUGUCGCCGAUAAUAGCCGAGCGUAUCCGACAUUAGCCGUGUUUGGACAAAGAGCCGAAUAUGAAGGAGUUUAACCAAAGAGCCGAAACAAGCUGAAUUUAGACGAAGAGGCGAACCAAGCCGAAUUUAGCUGAGUUUAAUUCAGCAGAACGGAACGACGCCGCCUUCGGCCGAAUCGAACGGGCUCAGCCGAACCAAGUCGAGACCAGAAAAACCUUACGACCGUACAAGACGGAGGCGCCGUGGCCGUCACUCGGCGCCGCACAAGACAGCGGCGCCCGGGCCGUCACGUGGUUUUGUACAAGUCGGUGGCGCAUUGGCCGUCAGGGUGGGCCCCACAAGAUGGCGGCUCCCUGGCCGGCAAUCGGCGCCGUACAAUAUGGCGACGGCCUAUCGCGUCACGUUGUUCCGUACAAGAUGGCGGGGCUCGGGUGGUUACGGGGUGCCGUACAAAUAGGCGGUGGCUUGACCAUAACGGGGUUCCGUACAAUAUGGCGACGGCCACCCGCGUCACGUGACACCGGACAAAGAUGGCGGCUUUCGGGGCCGAGUCUUUUUUCGGUUUGUGGCGCUUUUCCGUGCCUUCCGCGGGUCGCCGGCGGCGGUGAUGGCAUUCCGGUUCGCCUGGCGCGGGCAGCGUUGCGGGAAAUUGUUUCUAGGCCGCGGUGUUGGUGUGGGCAUUUUGAUCAGGCAGCCGUCAGUUCGGCUACGCCUUGGAAUCCUUCCCAAGGCGCUGGAGGCGCGGUCGGGGCGGGGCGCCGUGUCGAUGAGGUGACGUCAUCGGGCGGUGCUUUCUUAGCAGUGUGCCCAGUCGGACGGCAGGGGGCGCUGUGCCUGUAGCGCGCCGGGGCAGACGGCAGGGGGCGCUGUGCCUGUAGCGCGCCGGGGCAGACGGCAGGGGGCGCUGUGCGGGCUCGCAGGGGACGGGUCCGGGGCGGGACGCACUGCGGGCGGCGAGGUUUUGGUGAGGGGUGCGCUUGGUGGUGACUGAGAGCUCUGGUGAUGGAUUGCCGGUUUAUGCAAUUACAUAAUCGUGAUGCAGUUGCCUCUUAGGUGUGUCAUUAUUUGACUGGUAACGUAGAAGGGAGUAGUGGUGCUGUGGUUAAUGGAUAUUGCUAUUCGUUACUGAGAGAUGGAGCAGUAACUGGGGCCCUAUAAAGUAUAUACUAAAAGGAAUAAAAGUUAUAUGUCUGCUGCAGCAGUAGAAAAUUUCAGGCUCCCAGGCAGUAAAUAGUUUUCUUUAAAUCAUUAUAAUUUGGGGGUUUUUUACUCCCAUGUAGCCUGAAAUUUUCUACUGCUGUUUUUUUAUUCUAAAGCUAAAAAGGAAAAUAGAGUUAGAACUACAGGGACAGAAAGAAGGAAAGAAAGGAAGGAGGAAAGAAAAGAAGGAAAGGAAGAAUUGAAGGAAGAAAGGAAGCAAGAAAAGAAGGAAAGGAAGAAUUGAAAAAGGGAAGAAAAGAGGGAAAGCAAGAACUGAAGGAAGAAAGGAACGAGGAAAGAAAAGAAGGAAAGGAAAAAUUGAAUGAAGAAAGAAAGGGAGGAAGGAGGAAAGAAAGGAAGAAGAACAGGAAAAUUUGAAGAAAGAAAGGAAGGAGGAAAGGAAGAAUUGGAGAAAGGAAGGAAGGAGGAAAGGAAGAAGGAUGAAAGAAAUUAAGAGAAAGAAAGAAAGAAAGAAAAGUUCUUGGGUAGUAUAUUUACUACAUAUUUCCUCAGAGCAAAGGCCAUCUGCAGUUGGUGGGUUGUUCUCCCAGCUUGGAACACUGCACACUCUCUACAGCUUCCACGGAUUGUCGUCCAUGGUUGUGGAUUGGGAACGUUGCCAGGGUGGGCAUCACGGAGGGAGCGUGGUCACACUGGGAGGUUUUCUGACACUACAACACUCCCUCUAAGAAACUUCCCCUUCAAGGACUAAAACAGAACAAAAGGUGUGAAAGAAAUGUAAUUCCAAGAGGGAAAACAGCCUGCAAAACACAAGUCCACGGGGGCCUGGAUGCUGAUCCCUACUGCUGGUCAGUGAGAGAGUCUGACAGCUGUUUCUGUAUUCCUGACCUCCAUUUACAUCGGGGACGCGUGGCUUGGAGCACAGGAGCGGAUAUGUCACUUACCCGUGUCAGGUUGGUGCAGGUUACGAAUUGCAGGGUGACUUGGAAACUCGGAAACAAAGGGAAAAAACUGGUAUGGCUCUUAGCAAAAAAAAAUGGCUACAUCGGGGCAACAAUUCAGGGGACUGACAUUCAUCUUUAACGUUCUUCUGUGCUCCGUCCUCACCACCGUGAGCCCUGAAAGCCUCCUGAGCCGUUCUCACACAGGCCUGCCUUGUUUGGCCACAAAAAUCAGUAUUUUAUUACUGUGUGCAAACUCGGGGGAAUGUUUUAUUCAACAUCUCUCAGAAGGACAUUAAAGCUCCAGUGUCCCAUUUCUUGAACAGUCUGAAAGACAGUACUACUUAUAUAAUUUUUAUUACAAGGAUUUUUAUCUUUUUGAAGAACAGAAAGACUGCUUGUGCAUGUGUGUGCCCUAAGUAUCCAUCCUCUCUCUAAUACAGGACGGAAAAAAAGGCUGCAGAGCUUCCUACAAUGGGUGUAAGUGUGAAGAACGAGGAGACAGAGGAAGACUGGACUCGGGAAUCUGGACGGUCUUCCAGGGUUUAAUAAGCUUGAAUGGCACUUCAAGACAUUUACAUCAGACCUGGUUUAUUUUUAUUACCAUUCUUUAAAAUUAAAAAAACACAAAAACCCCCUGAUCCAUCGCUGCUGCUGCCAUGUGUGACAUAAACCCAUCUUCCCUCUGCCUGGAACAGGUGAGAAAUGGAACUAAACCCCCAAGGAUUUUCUGCUCAGUGAUUAUACCUGAGUUUUAUUGGGAACUCGCUGAGAAAUCUCAUGCAUUGUUCUUCAAUGUGGCCGUGAGGGGAGCUGGGCAUGACAGUCCAGACCUGCCAACAUGCAGUGCCAGAGUGAGAACCUUUGAAUCGUAACCCAGGAUUUAUUCCAUUGAAUCACAACUGUGUACUGUGCCCAGGACCUUUGUACAAAUAGUGUACGGGGAAAAACCAGAAUUGCCCAUUGCUUGUGAUGGGUAUGGAAUUUGGGGGCGUUGGCGCGGCGGGGUUUGUACAUGUAAAUAUUCUUAUCCUAAAGGAGCCCUCAGCUCCGUCCCGAGAGUUGAGUUAAAACUACGUUUCUUUAAAAACC